AUGGAUGGUCCUAUUCCUGCUCCCUUUACCACAGUCAGUGUUUUCAAAAAUGCGAACAGUUCAAUCGAUUUUGAAACGAACGUUCCUUCUGGAACUGUUGAUGAUCUUCUAGCUUGUUUGAAACCGUCAAUCAACAGUUUCCAUGUUUGUAAAAAACUUGGCAAAGCUAGCGACUGCAAAAAAUUUAAGUGCCUUAUUUCGGGUAGUAAAUGUGCUGUUAAAUGCAUCCCUCUGCGUGCAUCUUGCUUCGAAGAGCCAAGGGAAGUUAACAUCAUUUCAAGUUUGAGGAAUGGGCGCAUUAUGAUGCUUUUUCAGGCCUGGAUAGAACCGUGGAAUCACAAAAGGCUUCCCCCACAAGAAGAUUAUCUGUUUCUCCAUAUAGAGCUCUGUGCAAGCACACUGACGGACGUGCUUUUGCCUGAAAAGUUUGCCUCAAUUCCGGAUAGGUGGAAACUUUUCGAAGAGAUAGUAAGAGGUGUCAAAACACUGCAUCGUGAAUUUAUUGUUCACCGGGAUCUUAAGCCAGAUAACAUAUUCCUGGGCUCUGAUUAUGAAGUCCGAAUUGGAGACUUUGGAGAUGCCUGUUGUGGCCAAGACGAGCUUGGAAAAUAUGGCGGUACGCCUAAUUGUGGCACAAAAAGUUAUUUGGCGCCAGAGCUUGACAGUGAUGAGAAGAUAACUGAGAAGGUUGACAUUUACUCAGUCGGUGUAAUGUUUUUUGAGCUGCUGACACGAUUUGGGUCUUUAUUGGAGAGAGCGUUGGCAUUUGAGGAACUGAGAGAUAAAGGGCCUCCAGAUGGCUGGAAGGGUGAUUAUGAGGGCGACCGCGAACUUUAUGAUAGAAUGACCUCUUUGAAACCUGCUGACCGGCCUUCGGUGGAUGAGAUCCUGAUGUAUAUUCAGCAACACCGGGGAUCGACUGCAGAUAUGGGGAACAGACGGCUCUAG
rnacentral:rRNA from 1 species